rnacentral:rRNA from 1 species
UACGAACCGUGCGAACGUUAUUCGGAAUCACUGGGCUUAAAGCGCGUGUAGGCGGGACGGCACGUCGGUCGCUGAAAUCCCCCGGCUCAACCGGGGAACGGGCGCCGAUACGACCGCCCUGGAGGGACGUAGGGGGACCUGGAACUUCCGGUGGAGCGGUGAAAUGCGUUGAGAUCGGAAGGAACGCCCGUGGCGAAAGCGAGGUCCUGGACGUCUUCUGACGCUGAGACGCGAAAGCCAGGGGAGCGAACGGG